rnacentral:lncRNA from 1 species
GAAAUCCUAUUCUGCUCUGCCUUCUUACCUUCUGUGGAGAUGAGAACCCAGACUGAGGGGAACUCACUGAAGCAGGUACAUGGGCCUCAGGUAGAGCCAGCAGAGUCCUGGACAAUAGCCACAGUCAAUACCCACAAACCCACAAGAGAAGCCACCUUCAGUUCUCUUGCCAGGCCAGGAUGCAGCCGGGCAAACGGGAAGGAGUUGCAAUCCUGCCUCCCGAAGGGUCACUGAGUGGCUUCUCAGGCAGUCUGAAUACCUACCUGCUUUCUUUCAGUCUGAUGCCCAAAAGGGCUGGUUCUAGGCCCUGGAGAUGGGUUAAUCUGUGGUCACGGGGGAAGUACAGAGGAAGAAUUGAUGUCCUCCCCUGGGCCCUGGACACCUGGGUUCCAUCCCUGUUGUGCCAUAAGGCCAGGUUCCCUCUUGCUCAUGAUUUGCAUCUCCAUUUGACAUGGAGAAGGGUCCUCACCCCUUAGGAGUCCCAUGGUUGACUCAGUACCAGAUCCUCUGCUGACUCACCCCACCCCCCCUUGCACACACACACACACCCCUCCCAGCUCCCUGCAGCUCCAAGGCACGUGCCACUAGGCUCAAGCCUGAGGAGCUAGCAAGUGCAAUGUGACAGAGUGAGGGGGCUGGUGACACUUGAAGAGGAAAGGAGGGGGCGGGGAGGGGCAGUUACAGACAGACAGACUUGCAAACUGAGGCACCUCUGGGAGGAAGCCCUUUUGCCAGCCUGGGGCCUGCAGGGG